rnacentral:rRNA from 1 species
CUACGUGCCAGCAGCCGCGGUAAUACGGAGGGUGCGAGCGUUAAUCGGAAUAACUGGGCGUAAAGGGCACGCAGGCGGUGACUUAAGUGAGGUGUGAAAGCCCCGGGCUUAACCUGGGAAUUGCAUUUCAUACUGGGUCGCUAGAGUACUUUAGGGAGGGGUAGAAUUCCACGUGUAGCAGUGAAAUGCGUAGAGAUGUGGAGGAAUACCGAUGGCGAAGGCAGCCUCCUGGGAUAACACUGACGUUCAUGCUCGAAAGCGUGGGUAGCAAACAGGAUUAGAUACCCUGGUAGUCCACGCCCUAAACGAUGUCAAUUAACUGUUGGGCAACUUGAUUGCUUAGUAGCGUAGCUAACGCGUGAAAUUGACCGCCUGGGGAGUACGGUCGCAAGAUUAAAACUCAAAGGAAUUGACGGGGACCCGCACAAGCGGUGGAUGAUGUGGAUUAAUUCGAUGCAACGCGAAGAACCUUACC